AGCCUGAGUUAUAUGAUGAAGUAUUCCAGGCUGAGGUGAUUGAUCGCCUACCUGUACUAUUAAAGUUAUUUCUUCGAAGUGUAUUCCACCUUGCGACGUUUAUUUAUAUAGGCAGGUUAAAAAUCUGAUAAAGCGUAUGUGCAGAAUUGUUUAUAUUUAAUCGAAUACAAACGAAAUUUCAAUUCUUGUAAAGAAAGCAUUAAGAUACAAUCAAUAGUUCAUCAAUUUUCAUCAUAGAUAAUUUUUAAUAAAAUGAUUCGAUAUUUUUAAUACGCUUCAGAAUUAUUAAUUAUAAAUGAAAGAGAAAUAUUUUUAAAUGUUAAUGAAAUUUGUUUUCCAAUCAUUCUAUUAAAAAAUCGUUACUCUUGUAAAAAGUCAUCUUUCAUUAAUUGCGCAAGAUGUGAAAAAAUUUAUUGUUUUUAAUAUUUCUAAAGUAACAACUUUAAUUCUGGCACCUGUAUAUAAUAAAUAUUAAUGAAUAUACAAAAAAAUGUCCUAACUCAUAAAUAUAGAAAAAUAAUAGAGAGAAUUCAGCGAAGCUCGUUGACUUUCUGCAGGAAAAAUUUCAUUUUAGAUGAAUAAUUUUUUAACAAAAUCGAGUCGAAAACAAACGUGUUUAUUUUAGGUAUCGUAAAGCCAUCGUCUCUACUAUCUACGAAAUUACCUGAAGAUAAUCUACAAAUAGAUGAAAUAAAUGAAAUUAUUUUGCAUUCAGUUUGUUCUGUUUGUUGCAUUUUACGGCACUUUCACUCACGAAUUUUCUUAAUAUGCAUAUCUUUUGUAAAUUAAUAUAUCUGUCAAAUUUAAAUAGUCAUUUGCGAUAAAGAAGUUUAACUUCAAAAGCGAGUAAUGAGUUGUUUUUAUUUAGCUACAAAUCCAAAAUUAUAAUAGCUAAAAAUUUAUACAAAUUCUGAAGUAUAGCUACUAUUGAAUAAUUACUUUGAUCGGAGUAAAAAAUUGAUCAAUCAAUUGUCAAAAACCCCAUGAUAUUCAAAUAUGAAAUUUAUAUCGCUGUGCGACAAAAGUUAAAAUUUAUAUGAAGUCUUAAAACUUGGAGAAUAAUUUUUUGUUUACUUAUUUCGAAUCAUAUGAUCGAAUAAAAAUUCAAAAAUAUCUAAAAUAAAGAUCACCCUAAUAUUCAAUAGACUUAAAUAGCAGAACAAUAUACUGUACCAGUUGUGAAUAUGCUAUAAUCAUUGUAACACGAAAACCCUAAUUUAAAGCGACACCAAUAAUGGCGCCAAAUCAACCUAUACAGUUCUUUUUAGUAUUUACUUUCACCACUACGCGGCGUACACAUAUAGAAUUUUUCCGUUAUUACAAUUCUCGUCUCGAGUAUUCAAAUAAGACAAUACUAAUCCUGUGAUACGUUUAAUGAGUGUUAGUUGGUGUGAUAUGUUAACCUCUAAAAUAAACUGUGUUAUAUAUUUCUAUUAAACUAGUGUACUGUGUAUGUAAUUAGUUAAUAUUACUAUCAUUGAGAUAUCAUUUAAUGAGGAGAUUAAAGGGGGAGAGAAGAUAAGAUUUAAAUUAAAAAAAUUUCGCAGAAAUUCGCAGCACCUACCACCUCACGUGCGAUAAUGUGGCAGGACCACUAGAAUAUUCGUGGCUUCCACAGGUUUCCGGCGUAAUAAGUCAGGUAAGAGAGUUCUCUAGCAUGCGGUAAAAUAUAUCUCGCGACGUAUUUGCGUUACAAUCGAGUCGCGUUAAGAGCCCGCUCCUUAUAAGUCCGUCAACGAACAUUUCAACGAAAGACCUUCCCCUCCAUGAGGUGAAAAAAAAAUGUAUUUUAAAAACAAGACACAGUAUACUAUAAGAUGGAUAGCAAUUUUACUCGGAGGGACUCAACGCGAUACCAAAAAGAAUCAUGCAUACACUAAUACACGUAAAAAGUAGGAGAAGUUUAACUGACGACCGUCACCUGCGAAGGAAUAGUAGGAAUGCGGAAAUUCCUAAAAUUAUAUUCUCCUUCACCCCCGUACACAGGUUCAUAACGAGAUUAGACUGUAUUUCCUUUUCUAUAUAGUCUAUUUUCGAGCCACUAUCUAUUUGUAUAAUUUCAUUCUGAAUAAAAUAUUCGCUUGUCCCGGCUUUUCUCUCAAUUCGGUGAGAGUUUUUAUAUCGAGGCAAGUUGUAUUCAUUGUAUACCAAA
rnacentral:lncRNA from 1 species